AGAACGUUGACUACAAAGAAAGGAAAUAGGGAGGAAAUAAGAGAAGAAAGAAAAGAGAGAGGAGGCGUGCGUGUGUGAAGCAGCAAUAGCUCUGCCACAGCCCCCCCAACUCCACCAAUCCCCUUCUCCCUACCCUAUUCCUUAGCAUGCUCCAGCCGCCCAAGUCCUCCAACCACCUCAGCCGCAACCGAUGACUACACCUUCUCUAAAAGAGGCAGACACAUUUUGACUUCCUUGUAGUAUAAGCCAACAACUCCCAUCUUUUAAAAUCAUCAGCCAAGCAAUUCCAUUCACUUCUUCACACGCCAACAACAAGAGAGAGAUCAUUCAAGCUUCUGCUUAAACUUAAGCAAAUCCCCACUGAACUAAAGAAAAAUACAUCAGCC
rnacentral:lncRNA from 1 species